GAACCAGUCAGGGCCAGCCUACAACACAUACCUUCAAGGUCGGAAGAGGAGCGGCAGUUGAAGGAGCGAGUGCGGGGAUUGGCUGCAAAAGCUAAAUGAGUUAAUUGAGUUCCCAGGUAAAAUGAGUUCCCAGGUAAAACGAAAGGAUGGAAAUCUCUUCUUAGGGAACUCAUGAACCAAGGCCAUGGACUGAAUCUGGACUAUCAGGUUCAUGUGGACCUUUUAUGUCCACGUUCAGAUGGAGAAGGGAAGAAGUAGUCAGGGUAAAAAGAUAUAUCUGAAAUAUUGCUUACCUGGGUGGCUGCUGGCAAAGCUGCAGAAACAAAAAAAAUGUUGAUGUUAACAUAAAUACCUGUAAUUAAAUAUUUAAUACAUGAA